UACGUAGGGUGCAAGCGUUAAUCGGAAUUACUGGGCGUAAAGCGUGCGCAGGCGGUUCGGAAAGAAAGAUGUGAAAUCCCAGGGCUCAACCUUGGAACUGCAUUUUUAACUACCGGACUAGAGUAUGUCAGAGGGAGGUGGAAUUCCACGUGUAGCAGUGGAAUGCGUAGAUAUGUGGAGGAACACCGAUGGCGAAGGCAGCCUCCUGGGAUAAUACUGACGCUCAUGCACGAAAGCGUGGGGAGCAAACAGG
rnacentral:rRNA from 1 species